UUAGCAGUGGCAAAGUGCUCAUAGUGCAGGUAGUUGUGCAUCCAGAUCUACUGUAAUAUGGGCACUUACAGUACUGUUAG